AUUGAACGCUGGCGGCAGGCCUAACACAUGCAAGUCGAACGAGUGGCGGACGGGUGAGUAAUGUCUGGGAAACUGCCCGAUGGAGGGGGAUAACUACUGGAAACGGUAGCUAAUACCGCAUACCAUCGGAUGUGCCCAGAUGGGAUUAGCUAGUAGGUGGGGUAACGGCUCACCUAGGCGACGAUCCCUAGCUGGUGUGAGAGGAUGACCAGCGACACUGGAAGGGAGCAACGGUCAAGAGUCCUACGAGAGGCAGCAGUGGGGAAUAUUGGACAAUGGGCGCAAGCCUGAUGCAGUCAUGCCGAGUGUAUGAAGAAGGCCUUCGGGUUGUAAAGUACUUUCAGCGAGGAGGCGUUACUCGCAGAAGAAGCACCGGCUAACUCCGUGCCAGCAGCCGCGGUAAUUC
rnacentral:rRNA from 1 species